GGGCUACUACCACGGCUCGCUCUCUCCCAGGGGUCACAGUACUGGCCCGGUAUCUGCCCAGCAGUACACGCCAGCCUCGACUAGACUAAGAUCUCCAUCAAUGCAGAAACUGGAUGUUUGCCUUAAAGACAAAAUGUAUUUGAAAUUUCAGUGCUGCUAUUGGAGCGAUCAUUUUCAAUGAACCUUCUGGGCUUUUUUGAAGACGAUAAAAAUCUCACCUGAAAGAUCCUUCAUCACAACGUAAUGUCCAGAUCUCUUUUGUGCCUUCUCUCCCACAGCAACAAGCCCUAGACAAAACAUGAAGUUUGUGUAUGUGAUUCUCACCUUACUUAUGAAAAUACAGAAAUCAUAAUGCAUGACAUGUAUCAGUGGAGACAAAACAUGGUGACAUCAUACAAAUGCCCUUUCAGAAUUCUUUCAAAUUUCCCUUUCAUCCCACAUUUUUUCUUCCUCUAUGCUACAGACCCAUUCUUAUGAGUGCUCCAGUAAGAUUUUACACAACCAGCUAGAAGAUUUUGGGUAGUCUUAUGCAAGUCAGGAAACAUCUCGUUUUCCAAACCCCCCUUUGGAGAAAUACUGAACAAGAGAUAAAAGAGAUCUUCUUGCUCAGUACUAACAUGUGUUGUGUAACCCAAAAGCGAUCCAAAAUCUUAACAGUUUGCCUACAACAUACUAGGCAUGUGAAGUAUUUCUGUUAGACUAUAUAAACCAUACCUAGCAUGUCCUUUUAUCAUAUGAAACAGUAGCAUCACUUCCACUGUGCUUUCUUUAUUUAGGGGUAUUCAAAUAUUUAUCUUUCAUGCCCAAGUUCACAGCCUAAUUACAGUGAUUUCAGUCACACUGAAAUAUGAAGAACCAGAAAAACAUACAACUGGGCCCAGGAGGAGUAACCAGAGGACAAGUUUCAGUGGAAGCCACUGUGAAACACAGAAGCCAAACACUUUUGUUUUUGAAUUAUUGCAAGAGCAAAGGAUGAAGCAUAACAACUGUCAAAAACAUACUAAAUACCAAUAACUACACCAUACUUACCAAGACACUCCUGUUUCUUUCUAUUCAUUUUGCCCUUACCUUAAAUACCUGUAACUGAACUAAAUAUGUAGUGAAUGGUGGUUCAAAACUUCUCAAGACUUCAUUCCUUCAGUAUUGCUUUGUUCCUUACCUCUUUGUUUCUGUUUCUUGCUUUGAUGAACAAAGACAUGGAGAUACUGCACUUGUUUCCAGUUCCUUCCCUGUUCCUUCAACUUUUUUUUUUGUUCACUUAUUUGUUUUACUUGAAAAGAAAGCCUUUCUCUCCUUACCAGAUUUUCAUCCCAAACAAAAAGCUCUUGCUUCAUUCAUCUGCAUUAAUACUGCUUUUUCCCUCCCUCCACAUCACCAUCACAUUCUCCACAUCUCACCCCUGGAAGCUCAGGAUAAAUACUCAGAAAGGCUGCAACAGACUCCAAUUAGUUCUGCUAUUUGCUGAGAGCUGGUGCACCAGGCUUCUUCAAACAGAAACAACAGCAACUUAACGGACGACAUCAAAGCACAAGAAUGUUUCUGUUUCAAUGCUGUCUCUCAGAGGAUCACAGAUGUGACCUGAUGUCCAGAAAAAAGAAGGUCUAAUGGAAAACCAUGGCACAGGCAGACCUUCUGAUUCUUAGUACAACCCACUUAAUAGUUCCUCAGCAAACUGCUUGUUCCCAUAUCUAAAAACAAUAUUUUUCUUUAGGGAUAAGUUCUAAAAACAUGGAGGUUUCUGUCUGGCUUGUGUUUUGAACUAGUUGGGGUUUGGUUUUGGUUGUGUGUUUGUUAUUUCUUUGCUUUGUUCUUAAAUAAUCUGGUCACUUACUGACAGACCUUGUAGAAAAACUUCCAUCUUCUAGUGGCAUACGUAUACCAAGUGGCUUCUUCCAAAGUCUUUAAGAGCCCUUAGGCCUCCACGCUGAACUUAAGAAGGUUUGACUUUCUACACAUGUAAACACUAAAGAACACUUGUGUAUGAAGAAGUUCUUCACCUACUUGCCUUGAAUAUAUAUAUAGUCACUGUUCAGCUACUCCUUUACAACGCAUGAAGCCCUUGCUUCUCCAUAAUGCAAGCUGUCACUUACUAGUGUUGGGCCAAGUAUAAAUUCUAAGUAUUCCACAUCAACAUAACACAUUCAGAUUUUUUUUGUGAAAGUAAUAAAACAUUUCAUCUAUUAAAAACAUAAUAUAUUAUAAAUAGAUAAAAAUUAAGCAAAACUCAUCCAUCAUGAGGGUUAACAGUAAUUACAGAUGAAUCUACCACAUGCCAGAGACUGCCCUCUUUUAGUUCCAUCUCACCACCUCCCCGUGUUACUAAGCAGACACCAAGCUCUGUUACAGACUGCCCAGCACAAUGCAGAUCUGAUCCUGCCUCACACCUUAUGGUUUGACCCUUGAAAUUUCAACUGAAAAUUCCACAAGCACUGGGGAGAUCUCUAUCUGAAACCAUAUGAAGACCCUGGUAUACACUUUCUAAGAUGUGAAACUUGAGCUGUAACAGAGCUGCGUAGCACAAAAAUUGUUUUAAUUUAUGAAACAGUCACAGGCUGUGCAACAAUACUGCCUCUUCCCUGUGAUGUGACAUGAUGCAAGCAAUACAAUUAAUAGAGCUAAUUCUUCCCUCCUCAUCACAAAAAUUCACUGCUGUGUUAUAAAGGCUGUUUAAAAAAAUAAUAUUCAAACUGACCAUUCUCUUUUUCUUCCCUCUGACUGAUAUUCAUAAAACUACACUGAAAGAAGUCUUACCAGCACAAGACAGCACCUACAAAGACCAGAGCAACUGAGUAACAGUCAGAACGCUUUUCUAAUAAUUUCUUGGUAUUCACUGUCACCAGAGUAUCUUUUCCCACUUUAAGCAAAAAGGUUGCAAAGAAAAACAGCUGAAAAGCAAGUCUGCACGUUGUUCACGCUAAACUGAAAUGUACGUAUUAUUGUGUUCUGCAUUUUCAAACUGUUGCACUUCUGUUUAUAAAAUUGUAUUAUACUACUAGGUCUUAAGAACUUGGAAAGCUAUAGGUAUUUUCCUAACUUAAGAUUCCUCUUGUUCCACCUUUAUAUUCAAACUGAAUUAUUUAAUAUUUUAACCACUGGUCUGAUCAACCCAGCAGUACUAUCUCUGUACUGAGAUCCAGCAUCUCUAUAAAUAAACUUCCUGACGUUUGCACUUUUAUGCUUUGUUUUCUUCUAAGCUCAAUUAUGAGCACUGACUGAAGUGGGCACAAAUCCAUAAUUCAAAGCAUUUCAUGCUUUCAUAUUAGUUGUGAUCUAUGUAAUAUGUUAAAAGAUUUGGGAUUUUUUACUUUUUGUUUUCACUGUUUUUAAUAUUGAGGAGAGAAACCAUAAGGAUGAUUUCUGCAGUCAAUGUUAAUUUGUUUACUUUGAUAACAUGCACGACUGAGUAAUUAAAUGAUAAAUUCCACAUACUUUAUUUGAAGUUUUAAAAAUCUCUGUAGGCAUUUCAGAUGGAAAGCCUUUCAUAAACACCUCCUCUAAAUACAGACAUCACAUGGAAUAUGCUGACAAGAUGGCCACCUGUCUAAAUCAUGUUGUCAGUUAAGAAGCAGCUCACUGCCUGCAAGUGAAAGGCUUAUUCUCUUCAAUCAGAUGAGGCAAGUGCAACAGUUUUCCACCUGUGGCCAUGAACUUUAUAAAGGAGAGGAAAUAAAGGAGAGGAAAUAAUAUAAAGGAGGAGAAAUAAUAAAUGAAAGCAAGCAAGGAAACUUCACUGCAAUCGAGCAGAGGCAGCUGUAACACGAUCAGACUGGGAAAUAGAAAAGCAGUUAGAUCAGAUUUCUAGGAAAGUAAACAAACCAUUUGGAAGAGCUAAAAAUCCAUGCAACAUUCUCUUCAUGAAAGGACUUCAGCUGUCGACACAGUUUAAAGACAAUCAAGCAUUCCACCUUCUACCCUGCCCCAUUUCUGCUUCAGCCACUUCCUCUAGGCCAACCACAAUGGCUUUUGAACCAUUUAUUUCCCUGUCCUUGCCUUCUCUAUACUUCCAAUUGAAGUGUACCUCCUGUUUAAGAACCACAUAGAAAUACUUUUUCAAGAGGAAGGCGAAGGUUAAGGGAAGUAAAUGAACUUCUCAAAGAGUUAACCAGUGACAGGACCUACAAAAGCAGUACAGGCCUAGAAAAACCAGUCAUUGUUUUUGCAGGGAAGCUGUACCUAGAAGCUUAAUAUUUUCAAGUUAUUUUGCCUACCUUCAAAAGAAGCCUAAGUUUAUACUAUCAUAAAUCACUUAAGGAAGUGCUUACCUUUUCGAUCAGUCUUAAAAUCAACCAUAAUAGGCUCGACACUGCCUUCUUUGUUUUUUCCAAGCCCUUCUCCUUCUCUCCAGCCCAUUUUUCUCAUCAGCUGAGCUCCCAUUCCUCCAGUUACAGGGGCUGCUCUUAAGAACUGAUCCUAUCCAGAAAAAGAGAAGUAAAACAAAUCCUAAAGUUAGGACUGGGUUUUUAGAAACCAAGCAGGAGCUUCCAAAAACGUUUCUAACAACCUUUCACAGUCUCAAUUCAGAAAAAUACACCUUAGCUUUAUAUACAGCUGUAUAAACCAAAAUUCACGCAGACACACAAUACACAAAUCAGUAUCUUCAAAAAAGAACAACUUAAGAAAAUUCUAACACAAUCCGAAAGUGGCAAGUGACCCAUUUCCGACGUAUGUACUUAUUAAAACAAUAACCGUUCAUUUCUAAACACACUACUUUGGUUCCAGUGCAUCUCUUCUCAUCUUGUGAAUGGAGGCAGUGUUUUAACUGUUUAACUGGCAACAAUCAUGCCAAGUGUACCUAUUUAUUGAACAAAAUACAAGCACAUUUAGUAAUGACAUACAAAUAAGUGUUUACACGUAUUUUAAAUAUAAAAAAAAAAUCCCCGUUUUAUUAUACAGCAGUUGCACAUUCAAGUUCUACUCUGAAAAUCCACAUGACACAGAUACAGGUUUCUCUUUCCUCUUUUUUUAAAGGCAAAAAGGCGCUUAGCCACACAGUUUAGCAGCAGCAGUCGUCACAUUCUUUCAAAUCAAAAUUAAUACAAUAGUCGUUAACUGUUGAAAGCUUAUAAACAGAAAUCUUAAAAAUCUGUUUUGAUGUAAAGAACUUUAAAAACUCCUUAAAUGUUUACGUACCUAGGCCUCGAUGGCCGCAGUGUUGUGAAUAGUAGGGCUGGCAUUGACCGUGGCAAGAAGGCAGCUACAAGGAUUUGACCCUGAAACAAGUUUCCAUAUAGAGGGGUGAAAGUUCACAGGUUAUUCUGUGAACUAUCAUCUCUCUUCUGCCCCACCCGCUGACCCAAGUAAGUAAGUCAAUCAUUUCCAUCACAGCAAAAAAUUGCUUGGCUUAAAAUAUACAAGUUUACACACUGGCACUGAUAAGUCCAUCAGGUAUUUCUCAUAGUAGGUUAGAGGAUACAAUGCCUAAUAUUUUUGUAGAAUUUUCACUUACUUCCAAAGCAAAUUAAUAGAACCUUUUUUUUUCCUUUAUUUUUGAGUUUUGCUUGCAAAAGUAAGAAUUUCUAAGAUUUGGACAAAAACUGAUUGAGUUCCUUGGUUUCAAUUUGUAUGUAAACAAAAAUCAGAAGUCUUACUUUUGCAGAGACCAAGGAUAAUAUUUUUUUUAAGGGGAUUAACUGUCCAUUAUUUGCAACUGACACACACUAAUGAUGCAUGUGUGAAAUCCCCACUAUCCAAUGGUGGUAGGAAGUUUAAAAAAUAAAAAUAAUUAAAAAAUAAAUCCUUAAGAUUGAAGUAAGACUUCUCUGAAUAUUCACCUAUUGAACAGUGAAGUAAAUUCCUAUCAAUCAUGCAACUGGAUGCUGGGUGGUUUAAUAUCAAUGUGUUCUGGUGGAAGAGUAAAGAGGUUAAGCUCACAUCUCCCAUGAAAAUCCUUUUUUGACUGGUGCAGACCAUGCAGUGUGCGUGUACAGAGACAAUUGGUCCUUCGAUACAGACUGCCUCAAGCUAUAAGCCUAGAGUAGCUUUUACUUACUUCCAUUUUCAUCCUCCCCUCUCUUUUCCAGGAACCUCUCAUAAGAAAAGGGCAACCAUGCCGAGAAUGAUACAAACCCCAGUCAAUGUCACCCUGGGUUCCGAUUCCUCUUUUGUACCUGCUUUGCAAUAGUAGAAUUUACAAUACGAAUAUCUGUUUCAUUACCACCAGUGUGUACGCAGUUCACAAGUGAAAGAGUUCAAUUUCUCAGUGAGGCCCUUUUAGCUUUCCCAGCACACCUUCCAAGGCAGUAACUUGGAGGUCAAAGGUAGUGUGCAAAGAAAAACAAUCAAAAUAGUGCUAUUCAGAGUCAAAAAUUAAAUCACUGAGCUCCUACAUUAGAAAUUAUCAGAGAUCAAAUCAAUUCCAAAUACUGGAAAUAACCAGUUUUUAAUUCUAAAAUGUAGUUCAUUAAAAAAAAAAACUUUAAAAACAAAAUCUAAAAAACAAAACCACAUGUGUCCUAGCGUUCCUACCGGAUAAUUUAAAUACCAAUUUUUACAUAUGCUAACUCUUUAACAUGCACAGCAUAACCAACACAACAAGUGAUUAGAAAUGAUUGGGUUUUGUUUCAUUCAGAACGUUUUGUUUCAUUACAGAACAGCCAUAGUUGUGCAUCACGUUGCAAGGCUAAACAAAGGAAUUCUACCAGCAAUAUGAAGGGAGCAUGGAGAAGCUUACUUUGGUUCAGGUUACUGAUGAAGCCGAGAAGGCUUUGAGCUGGGAAAAAGAGAGUUCCUCAAAACUUUAUUUUUUAAAUAACAAGUAUGAAUCUCCAAUGCCAUCUGUACAAUUAUAUUCUGUGUACCUCUUUUCUCUCACAAGUUAAUACAGAUGUGUUUACUCAUUCCAUGGUUUAGCGGAAUAUGAGUAAUGACAUUUGAAACUGUAAAAAUACUAUAAUGUUAAUAAAAAAGUAGAGAAAUAAGAUCUUUUCAGUUUUAAAAGCCAUAGAAGGAUUUGUCCCAGACGUACCUGAUAGUGAGGUACCUCUGCAGCUCCAGCCCAUAAGGAGGAUAUCGAGUAGCAUCUAGUACAACUAACUACAAGUUUCUAAGUUACUGGUAUCAGAACGAAAUAAUUGGUCAGAAAGUAACUAUAAUCUUUCUAAUACCAAUUCUAGCAGAGCAGCAUGAAAAUGUGAUGUAAUUCUUUUGUAUUGAAUUCCAUGAUGUCAGACAAAUAAAGCACAAUUCUGUUCUGCCAGCAGAUGGAGACAACUAAUAAGCCAAAUUCUUGCGCCGUUACCUUUUCUUUAUAAAGCAGGCUACACAGUGAAACCUGAUCAUUUCAGAGUUUUUUUCAGUAAUUCUAAGUAAAAAUUGUGCCUGUUUUUAAACUACAUUAGGGCAAUAUACCAGGAGAGAGGGCAGAAAUCAACAUUACUAGCAAAAUAACCCAUGAAUGUCUGAAUUACCAUGCAAGGGCUUUAAUGGGGGAAGAGGGGGAGAGAAGAGAAAAAUGGUUUUACAGCCUUUUGAAGAAAGAUGCUGCAAGUUGGACAGUCACCAUUAUUUGACUGCAACACCUGUCUCUGAAUAAAGCAUAACAUAUAGCAUCAAAUGGAAUAAUCUCUAAAACAGCACUCACAAUGUUCAAAACAUUAAAGCCACGAAUAUUUGAGAGAUCUUAAUGAACAUUAUCAUCUGCUGUUGCUUCGAGAAGAAAAUAUCCUUCUCACAAAGCUGACAUGGCACUAAAGCCCAAGCUCUCUGCUAGAAGGAGGGUUUCUCUCUUUUGAGCAAUUAUUUAUUAAACAUAACACAAUACAGCCUUAAAGGCUCAUAGUUGGACCCUUUCAGCUGUAGGUCGAUGGGCUGCCUGUGAGAUUACUCUAAGAAUGACUCCACAGAACUUAUAAGCACAGUACAAGUAUGUGAGAAGCAAGGUGAAACUUGCACCGCAGCUGAGGAUUCCACGACUCUAAUGUUUUCAGCAGCAGCCACAAUCCUUCUCUGACACAAGAGGGAGAUAAGGCUCUGGGCAGCCUGGUCUGGUGGUUGGUGACCCUGCACAUAGCAGGGGGGCUGAAACUGGAUGAUCAUUGUGGUCCUUUGCAACCCAGGCUGUUUCAUGAUUCUGUGAUAUAUUCCUGAAGAAUCCCUACAAAUGCCUUGCAAGGACUCAGCUUUAGAAAUUUUCUUAACAGCUUAUGCAUACAAUGAAUAGAAACCAAUUUGUGGUUAACUGAAAAUAAAUAAAUAAAUAAAUAAAUCAUUUUUCUCUGACGAAGCAGAGGCCAGUCCAAUGUAACCAGCACAUGGUUGAUUUGCCUUGCCAUCUGGCCUUCAAUUCCAAAUAAAGCUCAUUGUGUCAUGCAAGGCACUAAGAAUAUCAACAUUCUGAUAGACUGCCUUGCUGGAAGGAGAGCUUCGCAAGACACAUGUCAGUACUCGUGUGUAAGCAAUAAUCACAAGAUUUAGUUUAAACUCUAUCAUUAGUGUUUUAUUCAUUUGCAGUGACUAGUCAGUGAAAUAAGGGAAUAAAGGAUUUAACUUUUCAGCACUGGGUACACAAAACAUAACAUUCUAGCAGCCACUGUAAAACUGUGUGGCAUGCCUUAGCACAACCAAAUGAAACAAAUCCCAAGCAUUACACUGUGCAUGUAAAAUGUUAUAAAAACUUCCUUCUGGAGAGCAAAUUUAGGCUAUUAGAAAUAAGCUGGUAAAUACAGAAAAGCAGGGGGUGACUCGGCAAAAGUCUGAGUAAGCAGACCUCAAGAGAACUCGCCUGGAAAAAAAUCCGACCACUUCCAUGAAUUUGUCAUUUAUCCAGCAACACUAUGCAUUUGUUUAAAAACAAAAAGAAAAAAGCUAAAAAACCAAACAGAACCCCCGAAACAAAUUGUAUUUGUGAACUGAUUACACCAGUGAUGAUAAACUGAAACAGAAAUCACGUUUCAGAAGAAAAAGAUAAGAUGGUUCAUAAGUCUUUGAAGAUACGAGAAGCCUAACAAAGUAUUAUUUGAUUAUGAAUACUGCUCAGAAUUCUAGUAAUCAACAUCACAAACUUUAUUACCUUACUUCUAACUGGUGUGUCGCUCAUUUGAAUGUGUCACAUUAACCGCUUCAACAGCUAAGGCCCUCAAAAUCUUGUUGAGGUAGAACUAAAAUUUGCAGGCAUUUUUGUUUGAGUACAUAUUACCUCUCCAGCGUCAUUUUUAAAAGGAAGCAAUAAUAAAAUAAUAGAAAAAGAAAUAUGCUAAAACCCAGGAAAUGCAAAGUGAUGAAAGCAUCUUUCAAACAAGUUCCCUGAGUACUUCAAUUUUAUUCCCCUCCUGAUACUGCUCAUAUAUUUUAUUACUGCUACCUUCUUUAGCCCAUUUCUCUGUUAAGCAAUGUCUGUACAUGCAGACAGAUUUCCUGUGUAUAUGGAUAAACAACACCUAGCUGGCACAGGCUCUGUUUCUUCUAAACAGUCCAUGACCAUGAGACCUCUCAUAGCAAGUGCUUAUGGCUACCCCCUAAGAAAAAUGCCUUCAGUAAGCCACAUCUUUAGUCAGAAACGUGCAUUAAUUUACACUUGCCACAUAACUCAAGAAAAAUCACAGCCCUACUGGUAGAUGAAGUUUACAAAUACCUUUGUUUUCUACUGUUAAAAAUACAUUAUUUUCUUAGGACAAAAAAAAAAAAAAAAAAAAAA